UGGGGAAUUUUGGACAAUGGGCGCAAGCCUGAUCCAGCAAUGCCGCGUGAGUGAAGAAGGCCUUCGGGUUGUAAAGCUCUUUUGUCAGGGAAGAAACGGCGGGAGCUAAUAUCUCCUGCUAAUGACGGUACCUGAAGAAUAAGCACCGGCUAACUACGUGCCAGCAGCCGCGGUAAUACGUAGGGUGCAAGCGUUAAUCGGAAUUACUGGGCGUAAAGCGUGCGCAGGCGGUUGUGCAAGACCGAUGUGAAAUCCCCGGGCUUAACCUGGGAAUGGCAUUGGUGACUGCACGGCUAGAGUGUGUCAGAGGGGGGUAGAAUUCCACGUGUAGCAGUGAAAUGCGUAGAGAUGUGGAGGAAUACCGAUGGCGAAGGCAGCCCCCUGGGAUAACACUGACGCUCAUGCACGAAAGCGUGGGGAGCAAACA
rnacentral:rRNA from 1 species